UACGGGGGGGGGCAAGCGUUGUUCGGAAUUACUGGGCGUAAAGGGCUCGUAGGCGGCCAACUAAGUCCGACGUGAAAAUCCCCAAGGCUUAACCUUGGAACUGCGUCGGAUACUGGAUGGCUUGAAUUCGGGAGAGGGAUGCAGAAUUCCAGGUGUAGCGGUGAAAAUGCGUAGAUAUCUGGAGGAAUACCGGUGGCGAAGGCGGCAUCCUGGACCGGCAUUGACGCUGAUGAGCGAAAAGCUAGGGGAGCAAACGGGG
rnacentral:rRNA from 1 species